CCUACGGGAGGCAGCAGUGGGGAAUAUUGCACAAUGGGGGAAACCCUGAUGCAGCGACGCCGCGUGAGUGAAGAAGUAAUUCGGUAUGUAAAGCUCUAUCAGCAGGGAAGAAAAUGACGGUACCUGAGUAAGAAGCCCCGGCUAACUACGUGCCAGCAGCCGCGGUAAUACGUAGGGUGCAAGCGUUAUCCGGAUUUACUGGGUGUAAAGGGAGCGUAGACGGCAGUGCAAGUCUGGAGUGAAAGGCGGGGGCUCAACCCCCGGACUGCUGUGGAAACUGGACGGCUGGAGUGCAGGAGAGGUGAGUGGAAUUCCUGGUGUAGCGGUGAAAUGCGUAGAUAUUAGGAGGAACACCAGUGGCGAAGGCGGCUUACUGGACUGUAACUGACGUUGAGGCUCGAAAGCGUGGGGAGCAAACAGGAUUAGAUACCCUUGUAGUC
rnacentral:rRNA from 1 species